rnacentral:lncRNA from 1 species
UUCAGGCUCUGUUGCUUUGAGGGGACCCCAGGAUCUCCAGGGGAGAGCAAAGAACCCAGGCAGCACUUUCUGGAAAUGCAUCUUGAAGUAGACUGAAAUUUGUCCUCUGUGGCUCUGACCCUGGCUCCCAGGCUAGGCA